AAGAUUUUAAGUUAAACAAACUAACGCCCUUCAAAGGCGCAAAAAAAAGUUUCAAUCUUUUAAAUCUUA
rnacentral:tRNA from 1 species